GACGAACGCUGGCGGCGUGCUUAACACAUGCAAGUCGAACGGAAAGGCCCUGCUUUUGUGGGGUGCUCGAGUGGCGAACGGGUGAGUAACACGUGAGUAACCUGCCCUUGACUUUGGGAUAACUUCAGGAAACUGGGGCUAAUACCGGAUAGGAGCUCCUGCUGCAUGGUGGGGGUUGGAAAGUUUCGGCGGUUGGGGAUGGACUCGCGGCUUAUCAGCUUGUUGGUGGGGUAGUGGCUUACCAAGGCUUUGACGGGUAGCCGGCCUGAGAGGUGACCGGCGGCGCGGGGGGGGGGCGACGGCCCGGGCUGCGGCGGGGGGACGACGGGGGGCGUACUGCCCGGUGGCGGGAUGUGUGAGGGGGCGCGGCGGGGGGCGGGGGGACGCCCUUCGGGUAUUACGCUGCUUCCGCUUAUGACGAGGGGGGAGUGGCGGUAAUGGAAAAAGAGGCACCUGACAAGUCGGCACCACCAGCCGCCUUAUCUGAGGAAGAGCAGAGGUCCGCAC
rnacentral:rRNA from 1 species